CUUUCUCCGCCGGCGACCGGCGCACGGGUGAGUAACACGUACGCAACCUGCCCCUGUCAGGGGGACAACCCGCCGAAAGGCGGGCUAAACCCGCGUACAUGCCACCGGGGCAUCCCGGAGGCAGGAAAGGCUUCGGCCGGACAGGGAUGGGCAUGCGGCGCAUUAGGCAGUAGGCGGGGUAACGGCCCACCUAACCGACGAUGCGUAGGGGUUCUGAGAGGAAGGUCCCCCACACUGGUACUGAGACACGGACCAGACUCCUACGGGAGGCAGCAG
rnacentral:rRNA from 1 species